AGAGUUUUGACCUGGCUCAGAUUGAACGCUGGCGGCAGGCCUAACACAUGCAAGUCGAGCGGCAGCGGGAAAGUAGCUUGCUACUUUUGCCGGCGAGCGGCGGACGGGUGAGUAAUGCCUGGGAAAUUGCCCAGUCGAGGGGGAUAACAGUUGGAAACGACUGCUAAUACCGCAUACGCCCUACGGGGGAAAGCAGGGGACCUUCGGGCCUUGCGCGAUUGGAUAUGCCCAGGUGGGAUUAGCUAGUUGGUGAGGUAAUGGCUCACCAAGGCGACGAUCCCUAGCUGGUCUGAGAGGAUGAUCAGCCACACUGGAACUGAGACACGGUCCAGACUCCUACGGGAGGCAGCAGUGGGGAAUAUUGCACAAUGGGGGAAACCCUGAUGCAGCCAUGCCGCGUGUGUGAAGAAGGCCUUCGGGUUGUAAAGCACUUUCAGCGAGGAGGAAAGGUCAGUAGCUAAUAUCUGCUGGCUGUGACGUACUCGCAGAGAG
rnacentral:rRNA from 1 species